CAUUCUCAACGCGGAAAUUGAUUGAUGCAACAUGUCAGAAGCACUAGGGCAUACGUAGAUAGAAACCUGAUCUGGCAAUAUGCGAUUGGAUAAAGAACAGUUUACAAUGAAUGCAUAUGACGGCGGCUAACUUUGACCAAGAAUCGGUGGUUUACACGUACGAAUAUUGAAGGUGGGUAAUAAUUAAUGAUUCAAGGUUCUUCCUCUCAAACUAAUAAA
rnacentral:lncRNA from 1 species